GACGAACGCUGGCGGCGUGCUUAACACAUGCAAGUCGAACGGGCCUGCCUUCUUUUUUGGGGGGUGGGUUGAGUGGCGAACGGGUGAGUAUCACGUGAGUAACCUGCCCUUCGGUCCUGGAUAACCGCUUGAAAGGGCGGCUAAUACGGGGUGGUCCGGUUGGUCCGCAUGGGCUGGUCGGGAUAGAUUCACUGUUUUUGGUGUUUCGGCGGGGGAUGGGCUCGCGGCCUAUCAGCUUGUUGGUGGGGUGAUGGCCUACCAAGGCGGGGACGGGUAGCCGGCCUGAGAGGGUGGGCGGCCACACUGGGACUGAGAUACGGCCCAGACUCCUGCGGGAGGCAGCAGUGGGGGGUAUUGCACAAUGGGCGGAAGCCUGAUGCAGCGACGUCGCGUGAGGGAUGGAGGCCUUCGGGUUGUGAACCUCUGUUUCCGGUGGUGAAGGCCCUGUCCGUGUGGUGGGGUUGACGGUAGCCGGGGAUGAAGCGCCGGCUAACUACGUG
rnacentral:rRNA from 1 species